UGUAGCUACUGAUCCCAUACUACAGCAGAAAGAGUGAGAGUGAGAGGGAGGAGGGACAUCAGGUGUCACAGCUCUGCAACCCCAGUUGAGGCUGCAUUACCACGACAACCAGCUCCAGGGGUGCUGCCAGCUCUCUGCCUCGCCAGCCCAGCACCCAGUCAGCCGCCCAGCCAGCUAUCCAGCUAUCUACCCAUCCAUCCGCCAAGCCAGCCAGGCCGGCCCUGCCCUACCCAGAACUGGCAACCUGCAGGAGUCAUCAGGGCUCAGUGAAAAAAGGCAAAGAGGAUGUUUAUGAGGACUGUUCAAAUUCGUCUCAUAAAGAUUUAGAUUCAGAUAAUUAAGCUGUCACAGAUGUAGCGAAGAUUAGGAGCCAGAAGACGAGGGAGAGCUGACUCUGUACCCCUGGGGAGGACGCAAUGAGAUGGAACCACUUCUCUCCCCUCCCAAUGGAAAACCACCUCCACCGUCAGAACGCCAUCUGCUGGCUCGGUGGGGUGGGACAGCUGGUGUUGUGAAUCAGGCCGCCACAGUCCAGGGACCGGCUACUUCCCAACACCAGGGUCUCACCAUCACCCCUCACACCUCAACAAUCUCUCACCUUUGUCUGGUGGAGCAUAUUCUUCCCUCAUCGUGUCCAAUAUGAAUAGAUUAAAAACACUGUAUGAUUACGACAGUAUUUUUUUCAACAUUAACCAUAUAAAUCCUGUACCUUGUAAAAAAAUUAAUUAAUAAAAAGAAAUUGAUGGUUUUAUUCUGACAAUGAUUAUAUUUUUUGAGCAAUCCUGGAACAAAAAGAGAAAAAGUGGAAGCUAAAUGAAGCUCUGAAAAUGCAGUUUGUUGUUUUGUCCAAAAUGGAUUUAUUUAUUUGCCCAUCACAGAUUGUGUUGGAACCAUUCUUUCCAAAUAAUUAAUUAUGAAAAAUAAACUAAUACCAAGAAAUACAAAAAAUGGCUGUAUAUUUAUGUUAUUAACAGACAGGACAAUGGAAUCCCACAGGGCCCCAUUUUUGGACCUUUUUUGUUUUAUUCUGGUGUCUGUUACUGACUGAUUAAAAACAUUUCUUCCACUAAUUAAUUAUUAAUAUUAUUAAUAUAAUUAAUUGUUAUUAUUAUUCAUAUGUAAUAUUAACAUUACUUUUUUUAAUGCAAGAAAUUAAUGUUUCUAUCAUAAGCAAAAGUAAUAGCUUGAUUAACAGCUACUGGAUUUAAGGAGACCAGAGAGUCACCACCUAACCCCCCUAUAAUGAGUGCUGUCAGCAGUCUCAAAUUUCAGCACAAAUGGAUGUCUUUUCAAAUCUAAUGCAAUGUGAUUGUGUAAUGCUACACUGCAAGGCUGACUGAAACAAACUUGUUGACAUUAAGCAUCACAUUUUAUAAGUGUGAGAGACAUGCAGGACAAUAAGUGUUAACAUUUUAUUUCCCCAGUGUGAAUGUUUAUCCUCCAUCAUUCCUUAGCUUGUAUUUCAGCUCUUGACCCCAUGUCAGUCUUUAAUAUCUAAAAGUGAGGUGAACCUGGUGUGAUGCUCCUGACAAGUGAAGCAAGAGAGAUGCUAUUAAGUGUAACUGAUAAUGGCUGAGUCUGAGGCUCAGUCUUUUGCAGUGUCUUUGCAAAAAUUAAACUUCCCUCUGUAGGCCCAGGAAUUACAGGCUGCUGCAGGACACCUACCUGAUUAUGUUUUAAGGUGAAAAGCCCAUCUGCAAAACUGUGUACCAGCUCCACUGUUUUGCCAACUCUGGUCUGUGUUCAUCUGUGUGUUUCUGUACAAAAUACUUGUAUAAAAGUGUGUAAUGGUCAGUUUUA